GCCGCCUCAUUGAUUUACUUUUUUUUACUUGCGCCUGGCUUUGUUGGAUCAUGCUACCGUGGUGAAGAUAAUUGAGAUCUUUUUUUGUGUGCUGGGUUGAUGUUUACAUGAUAUUCACGGCAAAUACCUAAAAUUCACAUAUCAUUUGAUCAACGCCUUCUUCUAUUUCUGGUUUAUGAUCACACUUUAUUUUCGAAUUUUUUGCGUUUAUGAAGUACAUUUUAUUUGAUUAAUCAUUAACACACUUAGAAACAGAAGAGUUUUAUCUACGAUUUAAAACAUAGUUAACCCAAUUUGUUUAAAAUGAAAGUGACAGUUACGACUCUAAGCGAUGACAUUUUUGUCUUAGAUGUAAGUGAAGAUCUCGAGCUCGGAAAUUUUAAAGCUUUUUGUGAGAUUGAAAGCGGUGUACCAGCUCACGAAAUAGUUAUAAUGUUUAAUGGUCGACCAUUGAUGGAUGACAGAAAAUCACUUCCUCAGCAUGGCAUCCACGACGGUGAUGCAGUAAUACUUCAACAAAUGCAUCACAGUGGUACCGAUCUCGAUAUGCAUCCAUUCAAUGGAGCUGUUCCGUCACUGGACUUUAGUUCUAUAAGAAUCCCAGGAGCAUCAACAAGUCGACUUCCCGCAAGUUCUCACAAUCUUUCUGCCCAAAGAGUGCAAAAUCCUCGAAGUGAAGAUGAUCCUGCGAUGAUCAGAGAUAUGUUCCUAGCAAAUCCUGACCAACUGGCAUUAUUAAAGCAGAAUAAUCCUAGAUUAGCUGAUGCUUUGCUUUCCGGAAAUCUUGAAAGUUUCGGAACCGUGCUGAAAGAACAAGUAAAACUUCGAGAAGAACGUCAAGCUCAAAGACUGCGAAUGAUGAAUGCUGAUCCAUUCGACACUGAAGCUCAGCGACUGAUUGCUGAGGAAAUACGCCAAAAGAAUAUAGAAGCUAAUAUGGAAGCUGCUAUGGAAUAUAAUCCAGAAACAUUUGGCACUGUCGUAAUGCUAUAUAUCAACUGCAAAGUUAACGGGUUUCCCGUGAAAGCUUUUAUCGAUUCAGGUGCGCAGACUACAAUAAUGUCAGCAGCGUGUGCUGAAAGGUGUCAUAUAAUGCGACUAGUAGACUCACGAUGGGCCGGUGUUGCCAAAGGAGUUGGUGUGCAGCGAAUAAUUGGACGAAUUCACAUGGUACAAAUACAGAUUGGUAAUGAUCAUCUUACUACGUCUUUCAGCGUUUUGGAGGAACAACCUAUGGACAUGUUGCUUGGUUUGGACAUGCUGAAAAGACAUCAAUGUUGCAUUGACCUAAAGAAAAAUAUUUUGACCAUUGGAACCACAGGAACCAUAACGACUUUCCUUACAGAAGGAGAACUGCCAGAAUGCGCAAGGUUAAGUGGCAGUAAUGACGAAUCGUUGGAUGACAGAGAACUUCAAAGAGUUCUUGAAGAUAGUUCACGCGAAGCCGGGAAACAGAGACAGCAUCAGGGUAAAAAGUGCAGUCAAAAAAUAAAGAAGCAUCAGAUACAGCAGAAAUUAAAGUUAUGUCGUCAAAAAUAAUAAUUCGCAUAAAUAACAAGAUAUUCCUACACACACACACAUGCGGAAAGCAUCCAAUGAUCAGACGAAAUAAGAGCGCACUGAGAGCUUAAGAUUACAGGAAAGCAUUGAAGAAUUGUCCUAUAUCACUCAAAUGAGCCUUCGGUCGAUUGGAAAGUUGGAUGCAGCAAAAGCCGUUCAAGAUGUCGCUUUAGGAACUUCUACAAAAGCUAAGAAAUAUAGGAAAUCGUUAGAAUCUAUUUUUGAAAUCACUUUCUUUUCUGAUGCGAUUGUUUUAAUCAUUAAAGAGCAUAAAUAAUCGAGAUCACAGUAACAGGCUCUCCGAAAUAUUAGUAAGGAUAAUAAUUGUAAUUUGUAUUAGCCGUAUAAAUCUGUAUACAAAGCUAUACUUGAAUGCUGCCCAUCGAAAUCAUACGCAAUUAUAACUGAAACUAAAACAAAAGUUAAACUCCAGACUUUCAUUGAUUAUACCACUGAUCGCAUUCUGUCGACUCAAAUGAAGUUUAUGCAGACUUUACCGUAAAAAAAACAUUUAAAAACAUAAUUUUUAUUUGCAAAUGCGGGUGUGACAGCACCUUAGGUCAGAGAAGAUAUAAGCAUAAAUGAAUUGAUGAUUAUGGUGGGAAAUUUCACUAUGCGAAUGUUUUCUCCACAUCUCUUGUACCAGUACACCUUAUAUUAAUUUAUAAAAUAACAAAUGCUUCAACUGUGUUAUGAAACGAAAUCUUAAUCCCUUCUUUUUUUGUAAAAAUACUGAAUUAAGAGUGAGGGAAGUUCAUAACAUUAAUUAGCAAGUUGAUAAGUUGGUCCCUUGUUGUAACCAUGAUAUAUGAAUAAAGUGCGUAAUGCAAUGACAGGCCUGCCAUAAUAAAGAUAAAGAAAAGAUAAAUACGCGUAUAAAGAUAUUUCUGCAUUUAGAACAGGAGUUCAUAAGGCUUUGAUCAAAAGAUUCCACGUUAUAUUGCAAGCGAUUUCAAUUGAUUAUAAAAUUAAUUUAAUAAACUUUAAAGAUUAGGCUUUGCAGACAUUUUGCGACUUUUCCAGUUAUAUCCAUGGGAUUAUGUGCGAACAUCUGUACAUAAACUUCUUAUUAAUUGGACACAAAUAAUAACUUCUUCAUUAUGUAAUAAAUAUGUCAAAUGGCUCAGAGAAGAUUUUAUCCGAAAGUAUUCACGUGUGCCUGAUAUCGAAAUGAAGCAGACAUCUUCUCGUAACACUAGCGAGUAUUUAGACAUUAAAUCCAUAUCUUCUAGUGACGAAAAUUGACACCUGUAUGUUUUCUAUGUAUAUAUUACAUUAAAGUAUUUGAUUAAA